UGGGCCGUCGCCAAGUGGUAAGGCACCGGAUUUUGAUUCCGGCAUUCCAAGGUUCGAUCCCUUGCGGCCCAGCCA
rnacentral:tRNA from 2 species